AGCAGCGUGGCUCAGCGAAAAGAGCGCGGGCUUGGGAGUCAGAGGUCAUGGGUUCGAAUCCCAGCUCUGCCA
rnacentral:tRNA from 1 species